UCACAUGUUCAGAAAUAUGUUUAGAAUGUGGAUCUUUCCCAGGAGCAACAAGAAGCCUUCAUAGGGUUUGAGGGAGGAUAGGAAUACUUCACAGACCACUCUGCCUGAACACAGGGAGUAGAUUACAAAGGAGCAGAAGGAGAUGUAGGCAGGUUAGUGAGGGGCUGCUGCAGUCUGCCAAGCAAAAAAGAUGGUUGUCUGAACUAGAGUGGUGGCAAUGAAGCCGGAGAGAAGAGAACCAUUCCAGAGAUGUUUACAAGAUCAAGAUCUGCAGCAUUUGGCAAAGAAAUGGCUGUCACCUCCAAGGCCCUGGGUGCUGCCCUACAGUGGCAGUGGACACAACUUCCAAGGCUGGCGGUUGUCCUGCCUCCUGAAACCUUCAGUGGCACUCAAAAAGUGGCUACCGCAUUGGAGAGCACCAAUCUAGAACAUCAACAUCAUAGAAAGGUCUGUCCGGCAAAGACCCACAGGAGCACUGCUACUGGAUUCUUUGCAUGUUUAGUUUGAAUUUCCCCUUUAA